rnacentral:rRNA from 1 species
UACGAGGGGGGCAAGCGUUGUUCGGAAUUAUUGGGCGUAAAGGGCGCGUAGGCGGUGCGGUAAGUCACCUGUGAAAACUCUGGGCUCAACUCAGAGCCUGCAGGCGAAACUGCCGUGCUGGAGUGUGGGAGAGGUGCGUGGAAUUCCCGGUGUAGCGGUGAAAUGCGUAGAUAUCGGAAGGAACAUCAGUGGCGAAAGCGGCUUCCUGGACCAGCACCGACGUUCAGGCACGAAAGCGUGGGGAGCAAACAGG